UAGAGUAUGAUAGAGGAAAGCAGAAUUUCUAGUGUAGAGGUGAAAUUCGUAGAUAUUAGAAAGAAUACCAAUUGCGAAGGCAGCUUUCUGGAUCAUUACUGACACUGAGGAACGAAAGCAUGGGUAGCGAAGAGGAUUAGAUACCCUCGUAGUCCAUGCCGUAAACGAUGUGUGUUAGACGUUGGAAAUUUAUUUUCAGUGUCGCAGGGAAACCGAUAAACACACCGCCUGGGGAGUACGACCGCAAGGUUAAAACUCAAAUGAAUUGACGGGGACCCGCACAAGUAGUGGAGCAUGUGGUUUAAUUCGAAGAUACGCGCAGAACCUUACCAACACUUGACAUGUUCGUCGCGACUCUAAGAGAUUAGAGUUUUCGGUUCGGCCGGACGAAACACAGGUGCUGCAUGGCUGUCGUCAGCUCGUGUCGUGAGAUGUUGGGUUAAGUCCCGCAACGAGCGCAACCCUCACUUUUAGUUGCCAUCAUUAAGUUGGGCACUCUGAAAGAACUGCCAGUGAUAAGCUGGAGGAAGGUGGGGAUGACGUCAAGUCCUCAUGGCCCUUACGUGUUGGGCUACACACGUGCUACAAUGGCAUCUACAACAGGAAGCAAAACGGCAACGUUAAGCAAAUCCCGAAAAGAUGCCUCAGUUCGGAUUGCACUCUGCAACUCGAGUGCAUGAAGCUGGAAUUACUAGUAAUCGUGGAUCAGCGUGCCACGGUGAAUGCGUUCCCGGGUCUUGUACACACCGCCCGUCACACCAUGGGAGUUGGUUCUACCUUAAGGCAAGGUUUUAAACCCUUGACCACGGUAUAGUCAGCGACUGGGGUGAAGUCGUAACAAGGUAGCCGUA
rnacentral:rRNA from 1 species